rnacentral:rRNA from 1 species
GGAAUUUUCCGCAAUGGGCGAAAGCCUGACGGAGCAACGCCGCGUGAGGGAUGAAGGCCUCUGGGCUGUAAACCUCUUUUCUCAAGGAAGAAGAUCUGACGGUACUUGAGGAAUAAGCCACGGCUAAUUCCGUGCCAGCAGCCGCGGUAAUACGGGAGUGGCAAGCGUUAUCCGGAAUUAUUGGGCGUAAAACGUCCGCAGGCGGCCUUGUAAGUCUGUCGUUAAAGCGUGGAGCUUAACUCCAUUUCGGCGAUGGAAACUACAAGGCUUGAGUGUGGUAGGGGCAGAGGGAAUUCCCGGUGUAGCGGUGAAAUGCGUAGAUAUCGGGAAGAACACCAGUGGCGAAGGCGCUCUGCUGGGCCAUAACUGACGCUCAUGGACGAAAGCCAGGGGAGCGAAAGGGAUUAGAUACCCCUGUAGUCCUGGCCGUAAACGAUGAACACUAGGUGUCGGGGAAUCGACCCCCUCGGUGUCGUAGCCAACGCGUUAAGUGUUCCGCCUGGGGAGUACGCACGCAAGUGUGAAACUCAAAUGAAUUGACGGA